CCCGAAUUAAAAAGAGCUAAAUUAAUAUAUAUAUUAUUGUUACAUAAUUACUUAAAAUUUUAGUUUAGAUGUUAUAUGCAAUUCAAUUUUUAAAAUAUCUGGUUUUUUUAUAAAUAAGUUUAAUUUAUUUAUUAAAUUGAAAAUUAUUAAAUGUUUAUUAUUUUUUUUUUAAUAUUAAUAUUUUAAGGGAUGAGCUUUAAAGUAUAUUAUACAAAUUAUUUUUUUUUACAAUUAUUUAGGAUUAAAAAUUUUCAUUUUUAAAAGUUUUUUAUUAUUUUUUUGUUAUUUUUUUUGAUUUAUAUAUAAUUUUAUUUUUUUAAGAAAAUAUUUUUUUUAAUUUUUUAAAAAAUUAAAUAAUGAUAGAAUUAGUAUUUUAAUUUGUUAUUAUAUUUUAUUUUUAUAAUUUAAAUAAAGGAAUUCGGCAAAAAUUUUACUCACCUGUUUAAUAAAAACAUGUCUUUUUGAUUUUAAUUUUAAGUUUAACCUGCCCAAUGAAUAUUUAAUGGCUGCAGUAUAUUGACUGUACAAAGGUAGCAUAAUAAAUAGUUUUUUAAUUGAAAGCUGGUAUGAAAGGUUGGAUGAAGUAAAUACUGUCUCUGUUUAAUAUAAAUAAUUUUAUUUUUAAGUUAAAAAGCUUAAAUAAUUAAAGAAGACGAUAAGACCCUAUAGAAUUUUAUAUUUUUAUUUUUUUAAUUUAUAGGUAUUUAAAUUUAAAUCUAUAAAAUUAUUUUAUUGGGGAGAUAGAAAAAUUUAAUUAACUUUUUAUUUGUUUACAUUUAUUUUUGAAAAUAUGAUCCUUUAUUUAAGAUUAUAAGAAAAAUUACCUUAGGGAUAACAGCGUAAUUUUUUUUAAGAGUUCUAAUCGAAAGAAAAGUUUGCGACCUCGAUGUUGGAUUAAAAUUAAUUUAGGGUGUAGGGGCUCUACAAUUAGGUCUGUUCGACCUUUAAAAUUUUACAUGAUCUGAGUUUAGACCGGCGUGAGCCAGGUUGGUUUCUAUCUCUUUAUAUUUAAUAUUUUUUAGUACGAAAGGACCAAAAAU
rnacentral:rRNA from 1 species